UGACCUCGGAUCAGACGUGAUUACCGCUGAAUUUAAGCAUAUUAUUAAGCGGAGGAAAAGAAACUAACAAGGAUUCCCCUAGUAACGGCGAGUGAACGGGGAAGAGCCCAACACCGAAUCCCUUGGCGCAAGUCAACGGGAAAAUGUGGUGUUAAGGUAGCCCUUCGUGUCAGUCUAGGCGUCUCAAGUCCACCUGAUUGUGGCUCAAGCCCAGAGAGGGUGUAAGGCCCGUAGAGACGCUCCGACUGAUUCCUGGGGUUUACCUACGAGUCGGCUUGUUUGGGAAUGCAGGCCAAAGCGGGUGGUAAACUCCAUCCAAGGCUAAAUACUGGCACGAGUCCGAUAGCGGACAAGUACCGUGAGGGAAAGUUGAAAAGAACUUUGAAGAGAGAGUUCAAUAGUACGUGAAACCGCUUAGAGGCAAACGGAUGGUGCUCAUACUGGCCUGAGGAAUUCAACUGUGACGGUGGCUGGACGAGCUGGCGUUCCGAUCUCUCUUUUGGGACGGGCGUCGGUUUGGCUAUCAGCUCCGACAUGGUGCACUUUCCUUGGUGCCUCCGCCACGACCGACGACACUGGCUACCGCGGCUGGGGUAAGGUGACAAACUGCUUCGGCAAUUUGUGUUAUAGACCCGGCGUCGGACAUGGUUUGGCCAGGACGUCGAGCUUGCGGCGCCCGCUCCUUGUGGGCUCGCAUGUUGGCUAGCUUGGCUGCGCCGAUGCUUGCACUGGACAACCAGUACAGGUGACGGUUGUGGUCUUGUCUCUAGUUGGCCUCUGCGAGUUUGGCGCCUAUAGUCUGUGGUGUACUUGUGGGUAGACUAUCCGACCCGUCUUGAAACACGGACCAAGGAGUCUAACAUGUGCGCGAGUCAUGGGGGAUUCUACGAAACCCAAAGGCGCAGUGAAAGUAAAGGCCUGCUUCUCGUAGGCUGAGGUGGGAUCUCGUGCAUCGCGAUUUGGCGAGCGCACCACCGGCCCGUCCUAUCUGUCUCUGUCAGUGGGGCGGCGCAAGAGCGUACACGUUGGGACCCGAAAGAUGGUGAACUAUGCUUGCGCAGCUCGAAGUCAGUGGAAACACUGAUGGAGGAGCGCAGCGUUUCUGACGUGCAAAUCGAUCGUCAAACGUGAGUAUAGGGGCGAAAGACUAAUCGAACCAUCUAGUAGCUGGUUCCCUCCGAAGUUUCCCUCAGGAUAGCUGGCACUCGGGAAACAGUUUUAUCCGGUAAAGCGAAUGAUUAGAGGCAUUGGGGUCGAAACGACCUCGACCUAUUCUCAAACUUUAAAUGGGUAAGAUGCUCGUCUCGCUUAAUUGGAGGCGGGCUUCACCUCUCUAUAAACGUGAAUGUGAGUGCCCAGUGGGCCAUUUUGGUAAGCAGAACUGGCGCUGUGGGAUGAACCAAACGCGCGGUUAAGGCGCCCAAUGCGGACGCUCAUGAGACACCACAAAAGGUGUUGGUCGAUACUGACAGCAGGACGGUGGCCAUGGAAGUCGGAACCCGCUAAGGAGUGUGUAACAACUCACCUGCCGAAUCAACCAGCCCUGAAAAUGGAUGGCGCUGGAGCGUCGGGCCUAUACCGUGCCGUUGGGGCGAAGCAGACAAAUAAUCUGUGUGGAUGUCCCAACGAGUAGGAGGGUCGCCGUGGUGAGCGCAGAAGGUGCGGCCGUGAGGCCGGCUGGAGCCGCCACGGGCGCAGAUCUUGGUGGUAGUAGCAAUUACUCAAGUGAGAACCUUGAGGACUGAAGUGGAGAAGGGUUCCAUGUGAACAGCAGUUGAACAUGGGUCAGGCGGUCCUAAGCGAUCGGGUAACUCCGUACCUAGACGAGGGUGACAACUAUCACUUGACUAAUACUGUGAAGUGUUAUAGCCCUCCGGAGCGAAAGGGAAUCGUGUUAAUAUUCACGACCCUUACCGUGGAGAUCGCCCCUUUCGGGGGGCAAGUGCGGCGGUAACGCAAACGAACACAGAGACGUCGGCUGGAGCCCCGGGAAGAGUUCUCUUUUCUUUGUAAGGAGCGUACCCCCUGGAAUCGGCUUGUCCGGAGAUAGGGGCGUGGCUUCCGUAAAGCAGCGCGGGUCUUGCGCUGUCCGGUGCACUCUAGUCGGCCCUUGAAAAUCUGUGGGAGACAGUGUGAUUUUCACGGUAGGCCGUACCCAUAUCCGCAGCAGGUCUCCAAGGUGAACAGGCUCUAGUCCUAGAACAAUGUAGGUAAGGGAAGUCGGCAAAAUGGAUCCGUAACUUCGGGAAAAGGAUUGGCUCUGAGGGCUGGGUCGGAUGGGCUGGCGUAAGAAGCUGUUCCGGUUUUGGUGAGGACUGGGGCGAGGCUUUCGGGCUUUACUCGGACCAUGCCGAGACCAGGCAGUAGACGACGUCAGCUGUGCUUGUCGUGUUUCGGCGCGGCAGCUUCGUCGCGGCAACAAACAGCCAACUCAGAACUGGCACGGACUAGGGGAAUCCGACUGUCUAAUUAAAACAAAGCAUUGCGAUGGCUGUUGCUCGGUGUUGACGCAAUGUGAUUUCUGCCCAGUGCUCUGAAUGUCAAA
rnacentral:ncRNA from 1 species